UCUGGGCGCGGGCGCGCUUUUUCCCUGUGGCACCGACACCGUCCGAAACGUUCAGCGCACCUGUGUCCUGAAACCGCGCCACCCCUCGAUAACCUUUCCUGCUCGCGCUGAACGGUCCGAAGGGAAGCUCCGAACGAAAAGGUUAAAAAACCGAGCCGGCUGUAUUUCUGCCAGUUGCGAUGGUUGCUGAAGGCCGACGGUGGGAGCAGGUUUGAUCCUGGCCCGGUCCGAGUCAUGCUGGAGUCAACCCAUCGAUAUGUCUCUCUCACAUCAAUGUUUCUUUCUGUUCCUCCCUCCCUCCCAC